rnacentral:rRNA from 1 species
CCUGGCGGCCGAAGCGCGGUGGUCCAACUUGACCCCAUGCCGAACUCGGAAGUGAACCGCGGUAGCGCCGAUGUUAGUGUGGGGUUCCCCAUGCGAGAGUAGGGAACUGCCAGGC